AUUAAUGGUGUAGAGAGAGAGGGAGAGAGAGAGAGAGAGAGAGAGAGAGAGAAAGAGAGAGAAGAAGAAGUAAUGUUUUGGAAAAUGGCAAGCUAACGGAGAAAGGAAGAAGAAGAGAUAGGGGGAGAUGAGGGGCUGUACGCGGUAAUGGAGAGGUGAUGGGCAGUGUACGGCGGGGUUCGUUGGGAAGGUUUGUAGGGGGUGGUGAGGCUUCGUAUGCUAGGAAGGACAUGAUGUA
rnacentral:lncRNA from 1 species